CAGCCGCCGCGGUAAUACGGAGGGUGCAAGCGUUAUCCGGAUUCACUGGGUUUAAAGGGUGCGUAGGCGGGCAGGUAAGUCAGUGGUGAAAUCCUGGAGCUCAACUCCAGAACUGCCAUUGAUACUAUCUGUCUUGAAUAUUGUGGAGGUAAGCGGAAUAUGUCAUGUAACGGUGAAAUGCUUAGAUAUGACAUAGAACACCCAUUGCGAAGGCAGCUUACUACGCAUAUAUUGACGCUGAGGCACGAAAGCGUGGGGAUCAAACAGGAUUAGAUACCCUGGUAGUCCACGCCCUAAACGAUGGAUACUCGACAUACGCGAUACACUGUGUGUGUCUGAGCGAAAGCAUUAAGUAUCCCACCUGGGAAGUACGUUCGCAAGAAUGAAACUCAAAGGAAUUGGCGGGGGAGCACAG
rnacentral:rRNA from 1 species